UAAAUGAUAAAUAAAUAAUUAUCAGAGAGCUUGAUUUUAUUCAGUGGUUUCAUCUACAGCAAGUGCUCGGUUACGGCUCUCAGGGAGAAGUGUUAUUACAAGGAGUCUCGGUUUUAGGUCCGAGUUUUCCAGUUUCACUUCCUCCCUCUCUGGUUCACACCAAUACACUUAACAUAUACAUGUCUUCAUCUAACGUUUACAGAACGCAUACAAUAACAUAUAUUCGAAUACACACUAAUACUUAUAACUUUUAUAUGUAGGUUUACUGUAUACUAACUAGGUACCCACACACAGACAUAUGUGAGGGCUGUCAUGCUAUCCUAUAUUAUUCUUAUACUUUAGAUUCUUAUAUUUGUUAGUUACAAUAGUUAUUACUUUUGGUGUUUAACUAAUUAUUUCUACCCUUAUUAUUUAUUAUAAUAUUAUUCUUAUGUUGCGGCUGUGGUCCGACUUGUGCCUUUUGUAUCGCAUUUGCCCUGUUCCUCACCUUUCUUUAGGCUCUAAAGACAGUGACAUGGGGAAACCACAGG